rnacentral:rRNA from 1 species
GAUGAACGCUGGCGGCGCGCCUAACACAUGCAAGUCGAAUGGCACCUAUCUUCGGAUAGAAGCGAGUGGCGAACGGCUGAGUAACACGUGGAGAACCUGCCCCCUCCCCCGGGAUAGCCGCCCGAAAGGACGGGUAAUACCGGAUACCCCCGGGCGCCGCAUGGCGCCCGGGCUAAAGCCCCGACGGGAGGGGAUGGCUCCGCGGCCCAUCAGGUAGACGGCGGGGUGACGGCCCACCGUGCCGACAACGGGUAGCCGGGUUGAGAGACCGACCGGCCAGAUUGGGACUGAGACACGGCCCAGACUCCUACGGGAGGCAGCAGUGGGGAAUCUUGCGCAAUGGGGGGAACCCUGACGCAGCGACGCCGCGUGCGGGACGGAGGCCUUCGGGUCGUAAACCGCUUUCAGCAGGGAAGAGUCAAGACUGUACCUGCAGA